CAGCAGCCGCGGUAAUACGGAGGGUGCAAGCGUUAAUCGGAAUUACUGGGCGUAAAGCGCACGCAGGCGGUCUGUCAAGUCAGAUGUGAAAUCCCCGGGCUUAACCUGGGAACUGCAUUUGAAACUGGCAGGCUAGAGUCUUGUAGAGGGGGGUAGAAUUCCAGGUGUAGCGGUGAAAUGCGUAGAGAUCUGGAGGAAUACCGGUGGCGAAGGCGGCCCCCUGGACAAAGACUGACGCUCAGGUGCGAAAGCGUGGGGAGCAAACAGGAUUAGAGAUCCCGUGUAGUCCCUGUCUCUUAUA
rnacentral:rRNA from 1 species